UUUCUACUCCCUCCGUCCAAAAAUACUUGUCAUCAAAAUGGAUAAAAAGAGAUGUAUCUAAAACUAAAAUACGUCUAGAUACAUUUCCUUUUAUCCAUUUUGAUGACAAGUAUUUCCGGACGGAGGGAGUGUUUG
rfam:Triticum aestivum genome assembly, contig: Triticum_aestivum_CS42_TGACv1_scaffold_008354_1AL